rnacentral:rRNA from 1 species
GUUAGGAAUAUUGGACAAUGGGCGAAAGCCUGAUCCAGCCAUGCCGCGUGAACGAUGAAGGCCUUCGGGUUGUAAAGUUCUUUAGCCGAUGAUUAUAAUGACUGUAGUCGGAAAAUAAGCCCCGGCUAACUUCGCGCCAGCAGCCGCGGUAAUACGAAGGGGGCGAGCGUUAUUCGGAAUCACUGGGCGUAAAGCGUGCGUAGGCGGUUUUGUAAGUUAGGAGUGAAAGCCCAGGGCUCAACCUUGGAAUUGCUCUUAAAACUGCAAGGCUCGAAUCUCGGAGAGGAUAGCGGAAUUUCCAGUGUAGCAGUGAAAUGCGUAGAUAUUGGAAGGAACACCAGUGGCGUAAGCGGCUAUCUGGACGAGUAUUGACGCUGAGGCACGAAAGCGUGGGGAUCAAACAGGAUUAGAAACCCCAGUAGUCC